rnacentral:rRNA from 1 species
AUUGAACGCUGGCGGCAGGCCUAACACAUGCAAGUCGAACGAGUGGCGGACGGGUGAGUAAUGUCUGGGAAACUGCCCGAUGUAGGGGGAUAACUACUGGAAACGGUAGCUAAUACCGCAUACCAUCGGAUGUGCCCUGAUGGGAUUAGCUAGUAGGUGGGGUAAAGGCUCACCUAGGCGACGAUCCCUAGCUGGUCUGAGAGGAUGACCAGCCACACGGGAACUGAGACACGGUCCAGACUCCUACGGGAGGCAGCAGGGGGGAAUAUUGCACAAGGGGCGCAAGCCUGAUGCAGCCAUGCCGCGUGUGUGAAGAAGGCCUUCGGGUUGUAAAGCACUUUCAGCGGGGAGGCGUUACCCGAAGAAGAAGCACCGGCUAACUCCGUGCCAGCAGCCGCGGUAAUAC